rnacentral:ncRNA from 1 species
CGUUUGCACUGAACCUUUUCCAAAUGACUUAGUACCCAUAAUAAUGGCACGUUUGUGAUCUUGCAUCGCACCCGCAACAAUUUCAGAUGCCGAUGCUGAACCACCAUUAAUUAAGAUAAUAAGCGGCGCACCAUUUAAACUAUCGCCAGGUGUUGCAUUAUAACGGUGACUUGAAUCGGCGAUACGGCCUUCGGUGUAAACCACCAAACCGUCGUUAAUAAAGGCAUUGGAGACGCCAAUAGCACCACUGAGAACACCGCCUGGAUUAUUGCGUAA